CUCAGAGCCAGCCAAGUAUGGACUGAAACCUCCACAAACUCCAGGAGUGGAGCCCAGACAUAUCUGUGCUUGAAUAAGCUCUGGAUGAUUCUGAUGCAGGCUCAGGCUUUAGGACCACUGUCUGAAGAUAUGGAACCAGUCACCCCUAGGAGACAAGAGUCCGGGGCAUUGGUCAAGGUUUAACUCCCAUAACACCGCCGGCCCGGGGAGGGCCAGGUUCACGCACGUCCUCCAGCACCCGGCACUCUCACGGCGCGGGACGCCGAGAGGAACCAGCCCAGCGCGCGAGCACGGCGAGACUGGGCGGC